AACGUAGGUUCCGAGCGUUAUCCGGAUUUACUGGGCGUAAAGCGCGUUCAGGCGGUUUGGCAAGUCGGGCAUGAAAUCUCUCGGCUCAACCGGGAGAGGUUGUCCGAUACUGCUGGACUUGAGGGCAGUAGAGGGUGGUGGAAUUCCGGGUGUAGUGGUGAAAUGCGUAGAUAUCCGGAGGAACACCAGUGGCGAAAGCGGCCACCUGGGCUGCACCUGACGCUGACACGCGAAAGCUAGGGGAGCGAACGGG
rnacentral:rRNA from 1 species